AUUGUUUAGACUUCCCAUCAGCUGAUCUUGCCUGGGUUCAGAAGUUAAGCAAGGUUCUGCCUGGUUAGGAUUUGGAUGGGUGACCACCUGGAAAUACCAAGUGCUAUA
rnacentral:rRNA from 1 species